rnacentral:rRNA from 1 species
AUUGAACGCUGGCGGCAUGCCUUACACAUGCAAGUCGAACGGCAGCACGGGUGCUUGCACCUGGUGGCGAGUGGCGAACGGGUGAGUAAUAUAUCGGAACGUACCUUAUUGUGGGGGAUAACGCAGCGAAAGCUGUGCUAAUACCGCAUAAUCCCUAAGGGGGAAAGCGGGGGACCGUAAGGCCUCGCGCAAUUAGAGCGGCCGAUACCUGAUUAGCUAGUUGGUGAGGUAAAGGCUCACCAAGGCAACGAUCAGUAGCUGGUCUGAGAGGACGAUCAGCCACACUGGGACUGAGACACGGCCCAGACUCCUACGGGAGGCAGCAGUGGGGAAUUUUGGACAAUGGGGGCAACCCUGAUCCGGCAAUGCCGCGUGAGUGAAGAAUGUCUUCGGAUUGUAAAGCUCUUUUGUCAGGGAAGAAAAGUGCUGUAAUAACACUACGGCACAAUGACGGUACCUGAAGAAUAAGGAUCGGCUAACUACGUGCCAGCAGCCGCAGUAA